rnacentral:rRNA from 1 species
CACUACCCUAAACAACCCCUAUAAAUAACCUCAAAUGUACUACCUUAAACAAACAAACCAUUUUUUUAUCCAAGUAUGGGAGACAGAAAAGAAGCUAGGAGCUAUAGAAAAAGUACCGCAAGGGAAAGCUGAAAAAGCAAUGAAACAACCUAGUUAAGCACCAAAAAGCAGAGUCUUUCUCUCGUACCUUUUGCAUCAUGAUUUAGCUAGAAUAUCUUAAGCAAAAAGUAUUAUAGUUUAAUGCCCCGAAACUAGACGAGCUACUCCAAGACAGUCUGGCCUAUAGGACCACCCCAUCUCUGUGGCAAAAGAGUGGGAAGAGCUUCGAGUAGAGGUGAUAAGCCUACCGAGCCUAGUUAUAGCUGGUUGCCUGAGAACUGAAUAGAAGUUCAGCCCUUUAAGUUCUCCACCUUCGCCUAACCUAAAAUUUUCCUCACAGUUAAAGAACCUUAAAAGAGUUAGUCAAAGGGGGUACAGCCCCUUUGAACAAGACACAACUUUCCAAGGAGGGUAAGAAUCACAACAAACUAAAGACUAGUACCUCUGUGGGCUUAAAGGCAGCCAUCUCCCCAGAAAGCGUUAAAGCUCGAACACUACACACAACUCUUUUAAUAAAGACAACACAAUUCCACCCCCCUAAAACUUAUCAGGCCUUUCCAUAAAAUUAUGGAAGCGUUCAUGCUAAUAUGAGUAAUAAGAGAAGCCCCUCUCCUCGCACAAGUGUAACCCGGAACGAACCCCUCACCGACUAUUAACGGCCCCAAAACAAGGAGGGACCUAAAUUAAAAGUAAACGACAAGAAAAACAUUUAAUACCCCACCGUUAACCCCACACUGGUGUGCUAACCAGGAAAGACUAAAAGAAAGAGAAGGAACUCGGCAAACACAAGUCUCGCCUGUUUACCAAAAACAUCGCCUUUUGAUCAAAAAUAAGAGGUCCCGCCUGCCCUGUGACAUAAGUUUAACGGCCGCGGUAUCCUAACCGUGCAAAGGUAGCGCAAUCACUUGUCUUUUAAAUGAAGACCCGUAUGAAUGGUAUUACGAGGACUUAACUGUCUCCUUUUUCCAGUCAAUGAAAUUGAUCUUCCCGUGCAGAAGCGGGAAUAUUUACAUAAGACGAGAAGACCCUAUGGAGCUUUAGACACCAGAACAGCCCCUGUCAAGCAUCCCCAACAGUAGCGAUGAAACUAAGUGGCCCCUGUCCUAAUGUCUUUGGUUGGGGCGACCUUGGGAAAACAAAAAACUCCCACAUGGACCGGGAGCACCUCUUGCUCCUACAACUUAGAGUCACAACUCAAAGUGACAGAACCUCUGACCAACAAGAUCCGGCAUAGCCGAUCAACGAACCGAGUUACCCUAGGGAUAACAGCGCAAUCCCCUUUUAGAGCCCAUAUCGACAAGGGGGUUUACGACCUCGAUGUUGGAUCAGGACAUCCUAAUGGUGCAGCCGCUAUUAAGGGUUCGUUUGUUCAACGAUUAAAGUCCUACGUGAUCUGAGUUCAGACCGGAGUAAUCCAGGUCAGUUUCUAUCUAUGUCACGACCUUUCCUAGUACGAAAGGACCGAAAAAGAGAGGCCCCUGCCCUAAGCACGCCUCCCCCCCACCUAUUGAGACCAACUCAAACAGGUAAAAGGGCGUGUUCCUGCGGCCCAAGAUAAGGGCUU